GACGAACGCUGGCGGCGUGCCUAAUACAUGCAAGUAGAACGCACAGUUUAUACCGUAGCUUGCUACACCAUAAACUGUGAGUUGCGAACGGGUGAGUAACGCGUAGGUAACCUGCCUGGUAGCGGGGGAUAACUAUUGGAAACGAUAGCUAAUACCGCAUAAUAUUGAUUAUUGCAUGAUAAUUGAUUGAAAGAUGCUAUUGCAUCACUACCAGAUGGACCCGCGUUGUAUUAGCUAGUAGGUGAGGUAACGGCUCACCUAGGCGACGAUACAUAGCCGACCUGAGAGGGUGAUCGGCCACACUGGGACUGAGACACGGCCCAGACUCCUACGGGAGGCAGCAGUAGGAAAUCUUCGGCAAUGGACGAAAGUCUGACCGAGCAACGCCGCGUGAGUGAAGAAGGUUUUCGGAUCGUAAAGCUCUGUUGUAAGAGAAGAACGGGUGUGAGAGUGGAAAGUUCACACUGUGACGGUAUCUUACCAGAAAGGGACGGCUAACUACGUG
rnacentral:rRNA from 1 species